rnacentral:lncRNA from 1 species
CUGUAGGCAAAAGAGCCUGACUGGUUCACAUGUUGCUGCUGUGCUUCAGAACCUAUUAAGUCAGGCACUGGAAAAUGUCAAUAUGUAAAAUAACACUGUUAUAUAAAUGUAAGAACAAAUGAAUGGGCCAAGUACAUGUUAGUGAUCCGGAAUAUUUUCUUUCUAUAGGUGAACUUAUUUAGGACUACGGAAGAACGUUUUAGUGACCAGCUGCGAUAAUGACUGAAAAGGGAGGUUAGUGAUAAGCGAUAAGGACAGGUACAGACAUCCGGCCGUUGGCUUGGCUCAUCUAGAGCUGGCGCGCAGCCCUCUCCCCGCACUUGUGCUGAACUGAGUCCAUUCCAGUCCCCCACAGAUUAGAGGUGAGUCGGAAGCCACCUUGAGUUUGUUUUUUCAGAAAGCGCCGUUUCCUAGAUUGGAUGACAAGCGGGCUUUGGUGGCCCUUCGCUCUCGCUACCCUAACAAACUACCUGGAGCACUUUCCUCUUCAAAAACAAACCACCACGUCCGCGCUCGGUGGGUGAAGUGCUUUCUACUUUUGGUUGCGAUGCUGGAGGCCCUUACAACUUCGCAAAAUGUUUAGUGUACGCGGGGGCUCAGUGUUACCCUUGCAACGGGGGAAACACCUGUUUUCCGGGUCCCAGUCCUUCCCGGAGCGCGGACUCUGUACAGCCCGCGUCCGACCUCCCCGGCUCAUCGCCCCCUUCCAGAAACGCAUGGAGCUCUUGUUCGUUCGACAGCCUCCUUUUUGUACUGGCCACCUCAAAAUCAAAUCAAAACAAAACAAAACAGCAUCGCUCAGGUGUGAAACUCCAGAGCAGAAAGUGAAAGUGGGACUAAGCCCGGCGGCUGCUGCACCGCCGAGUGCGCGCCUGGGUGGGGCGGGGCUCCAGGGCACGGCGCCCGGUCACGUGACGCCCACCCGCCCAAUCCCAGCGGUCCCGCGCCUCACGCAGACCCGGGCCUGGGAAGCUCGUCUCGCCAGCCGAAAGCUGUAUUUUGGGCUGUUACCGCCUAAACGCCUUGUGGGCCUCACUCUGUCACCCAGGCUGAGUACAGUGGGGCCAUUAUGGCUCACUACAGCCUCAACCUCCCCAGACUCAGGUGAUCCUCCUACCGCGACCUUCCUAGUAGCUAGCAUUACAAGCGUGCGCCACUAUGCCUUGCUAAUUGUGUGUGUGUUUUUUGUAUAUUUUCUACAGAUGCGGUUUCACCAUGUUGCCCAGGCUGGUCUCGAACCCCUGGGCUCAAGCAGUUUGCCCAUCUUGGCCUCCCAAAGUGUUAGGAUUUACAGGCGUGAGCCACUGCGUCAAGCCUCAUCGUAUUUGAAUUUGCAUUUCCCUGGUGACUAA